rfam:Schistosoma rodhaini strain Burundi genome assembly, scaffold: SROB_scaffold0001699
AUCCAACUGAUGAGUCUCAAACAGGACGAAACACGCGUCCUGGAU